UACGAAGGGGGCUAGCGUUGUUCGGAAUCACUGGGCGUAAAGCGCACGCAGGCGGAUUGAUAAGUCGGGGGUGAAAUCCCGGGGCUCAACCUCGGAAUUGCCUUCGAUACUGUCUGUCUUGAGUCCGGGAGAGGUGAGUGGAAUUCCUAGUGUAGCGGUGAAAUGCGCAGAUAUCAGGAGGAACACCAGCGGCGAAGGCGGCGCUCUGGGCCGGAACUGACGCUGAGGAGCGAAAGCGUGGGUAGCAAACAGG
rnacentral:rRNA from 1 species